rnacentral:rRNA from 1 species
GACGAACGCUGGCGGCGUGCCUAAUACAUGCAAGUAGAACGCACAGUUUAUACCGUAGCUUGCUACACCAUAGACUGUGAGUUGCGAACGUGUGAGUAACGCGUAGGUAACCUGCCUGGUAGCGGGGGAUAACUAUUGGAAACGAUAGCUAAUACCGCAUCAUAUUAAUUAUUGCAUGAUAAUUAAUUGAAAGGUGCAAUUGCACCACUACCAGCUGGACCUGCGUUGUAUUAGCUAGUAGGUGAGGUAACGGCUCACCUAGGCGAGGAUAAAUAGCAGACAGGAGAGGGGGAUCGGCGACGCGGGGACGGAGACUAGGCGCAGACCCCUAAGGGAGGCAGACGAAGGGGAGGUUCGGCAAUGGAGGAAAGGCCGACCGAGCAACGCCGCGUGAGUGAAGAAGGUUGUCGGAUGGUAAAGCUCGGUUGGAAGAGAAGAACGGGUGUGAGAGUGGAAAGGUAGCACUGUGACGGUAUCUGACCAGAAAGCGACGGCUAACUACGUG